rnacentral:rRNA from 1 species
CGCACGCUGGCGGCGUGCUUAACACAUGCAAGUCGACCGGCAAGGCCCUGCUUUUGUGGGGUGCUCGAGUGGCGAACGGGUGAGUAACACGUGAGUAACCUGCCCUUGACUUUGGGAUAACUUCAGUAAACUGGGGCUAAUACCGGAUAGGAGCUCCUGCUGCAUGGUGGGGGUUGGAAAGUUUCGGCGGUUGGGGAUGGACUCGCGGCUUAUCAGCUUGUUGGUGGGGUAGUGGCUUACCAAGGCUUUGACGGGUAGCCGGCCUGAGAGGGUGACCGGCCACAUUGGGACUGAGAUACGGCCCAGACUCCUACGGGAGGCAGCAGUGGGGAAUAUUGCACAAUGGGCGGAAGCCUGAUGCAGCAACGCCGCGUGCGGGAUGACGGCCUUCGGGUUGUAAACCGCUUUCGCCUGUGACGAAGCGUGAGUGACGGUAAUGGGUAAAGAAGCACCGGCUAACUACGUG